rnacentral:tRNA from 1 species
GUUAUGGCUCAGUGGUAGAGCACUUGCCUAGCAUGUGUGAGGCACUGGGUUCAGUUCUCAGCAAAACA